UUCUAGGACAUGUCCCGCCUUCCUCAUUAUUACUGAUAGGAGAGGAUAGUGGACCGAGAGUGAAUCAAUGGAGCCAUCGGCCUGUUAAACAACAUUUUAAACUUUCCCACCAUUGCCACAUCAAUGUUAGAAAUGUGGGUUCAAACCCGACAGCCACCCACAGGAGUCUAAACGCGGCCGCUGAGGAAGAAAUGCGGUGAAGCUUUAUAUCUGAAUCAUCAGCCAAGUGAUGCGACCUCCAUAUCAGACUUAACCACAGAGAACAGAGGCUUCAGAGUCAGGGAAGAGUAUUGAACUUCUAAUGGCAUGUGGAAACAAACUGGUUUCAUCAAAGUUGCACGAGAGCCAGAAAUUAAAUGGCUUUAUGAUUCACAAGAUAUUUACAUUAAAGGCAGUGUACAUUAGACCAUUACGCAUUUCCGUUUGUUUUUAGUUUGACACCACAGAUUUAGACGACAGUUGUGUGGAGGUUGACACUACAACAGCAUCUAGUGACCCCAGAACUACCACUGGCCGUCACACCAGUCAUUGUAUGACUACAAGGGCUAAGGAUACCUAAAUCCACCUGAGUGACAGAUUAUUUGCUGUUGAGUUCUGAAAUAUUUGGUUUCUGCAUGCAACAAUACAUAAGAAACAUUUGUUUGCUUGGGAACAAGAUCUUUGUUAACCAGUCUAAUAGUGAU